rnacentral:rRNA from 1 species
GUCGACGGUACAGGGUGCUUGCACCGCUGACGAGUGGCGAACGGGUGAGUAAUAUAUCGGAACGUACCUAGUAAUGGGGGAUAACUAUCCGAAAGGAUAGCUAAUACCGCAUACGCCCUGAGGGGGAAAGAGGGGGAUCGCAAGACCUCUCGUUAUUAGAGCGGCCGAUAUCAGAUUAGCUAGUUGGUGAGGUAAAGGCUCACCAAGGCCACGAUCUGUAGCGGGUCUUAGAGGACGAUCCGCCACACUGGAACUGAGACACGGUCCAGACUCCUACGGGAGGCAGCAGUGGGGAAUCUUGGACAAUGGGCGCAAGCCUGAUCCAGCAAUGCCGCGUGCGUGAAGAAGGCCUUCGGGUUGUAAAGCGCUUUUGUUCGGGAGGAAAUCUUAGUGGCUAAUAUCCAUUGGGGAUGACAGUACCGGAAGAAUAAGGACCGGCUAACUACGUGCCAGCAGCCGCGGUAAUACGUAGGGUCCAAGCGUUAAUCGGAAUUACUGGGCGUAAAGGGUGCGCAGGUGGUUGAUUAAGUGUGAUGUGAAAGCCCCGGGCUCAACCUGGGAAUUGCAUUGCAAACUGGUCAACUAGAGUAUGGCAGAGGGGGGUGGAAUUCCGCGUGUAGCAGUGAAAUGCGUAGAGAUGCGGAGGAACACCGAUGGCGAAGGCAACCCCCUGGGCUAAUACUGACACUCAUGCACGAAAGCGUGGGGAGCAAACAGGAUUAGAUACCCUGGUAGUCCACGCCCUAAACGAUGUCUACUAGUU